CCUACGGGAGGCAGCAGUGGGGAAUCUUGGUCAAUGGGCGAAAGCCUGAACCAGCGACGCCGCGUGAGUGAUGAAGGCCUUCGGGUUGUAAAGCUCUGUGGGGAGGGACGAAAGAGCACGUUCUAACAGGACGUGUGUUGACGGUACCUCCUUAGCAAGCACCGGCUAACUCUGUGCCAGCAGCCGCGGUAAGACAGAGGGUGCAAACGUUGCUCGGAAUCACUGGGCGUAAAGGGCGUGUAGGCGGGCAUGCAAGUCAGGCGUGAAAUCCCUGGGCUCAACCCAGGAAUUGCACUUGAAACUGCAUGUCUUGAGUAUCGGAGAGGAAAGCGGAAUUCCUGGUGUAGAGGUGAAAUUCGUAGAUAUCAGGAGGAACACCGGUGGCGAAGGCGGCUUUCUGGACGAUAACUGACGCUGAGACGCGAAAGCGUGGGGAGCAAACAGGAUUAGAUACCCAGGUAGUCCACGCUGUAAACGAUGAACACUAGGUGUCGUGGGUAUUGACCCCCGCGGUGCCGCAGCUAACGCAUUAAGUGUUCCGCCUGGGAAGUACGGUCGCAAGACUAAAACUCAAAGGAAAUUGACGG
rnacentral:rRNA from 1 species